GACGAACCGUCCAAACGUUGUUCGGAAUCACUGGGCUUAAAGGGCGCGUAGGCGGGCUGCCAAGUCCGGGGUGAAAUCCUCCAGCUUAACUGGAGAACUGCCUCGGAUACUGGAAGUCUCGAGGAGGGUAGGGGCACGCGGAACUGUGGGUGGAGCGGUGAAAUGCGUUGAUAUCCAUAGGAACUCCGGUGGCGAAGGCGGCGUGCUGGACCCUUUCUGACGCUGAGGCGCGAAAGCCAGGGGAGCAAACGGG
rnacentral:rRNA from 1 species